rnacentral:rRNA from 1 species
GACGAACGCUGGCGGCGUGCUUAACACAUGCAAGUCGAACGGUGAAGCGCCUUCCUUUUUGGUGGGUGUGGAUGAGUGGCGAACGGGUGAGUAACACGUGAGUAACCUGCCCCCUUCUUCUGGAUAACCGCAUGAAAGUGUGGCUAAUACGGGAUAUUCUGGGUCUGUCGCAUGAUGGGUCUGGGAAAGAUAUUGUUUCGGUGGGGGAUGGGCUCGCGGCCUAUCAGCUUGUUGGUGGGGUGAUGGCCUACCAAGGCGGUGACGGGUAGCCGGCCUGAGAGGGUGGACGGUCACACUGGGACUGAGACACGGCCCAGACUCCUACGGGAGGCAGCAGUGGGGAAUAUUGCACAAUGGGCGCAAGCCUGAUGCAGCGACGCCGCGUGAGGGAUGGAGGCCGUCGGGUUGUGAACCUCUUUCGCCAGUGAAGCAGGCCUGCCUAGUUUGUGGGUGGGUUGACGGUAGCUGGAUAAGAAGCGCCGGCUAACUACGUG